CGUUGAGGCGGUUCUGUAAGUUGGGCGUGAAAGCCCCGGGCUCAACCCGGGGAGGCCGUUCAAUACUGCGGAACUUGAGGACAGCAGAGGGAGGUGGAAUUCCCGGUAUAGCGGUGAAAUGCGUAGAUAUCGGGAGGAACACCAGUGGCGAAGGCGACCUCCUGGGCUGUUCCUGACGCUGAAGGCGAAAGCUAGGGGAGCGAACG
rnacentral:rRNA from 1 species